AGUUCUUCAGGGCUGUCUCUGUGAUCCAGGCUUUGAUCUGGGAAAGGUUGCGCCUCAUUGCAGAGUUGAAGCUAUCUGCCUGCUUUGUUUACACGAACGCCCUUCCAGGACUCUGUCUGCUUUUGGGGUGGAAGUGCCCUGCCAAAAACUCCAGCUCUCCAUGCUGGCUGUGUGGCCAGCAUACCUCCUGCCUUUUCAACGAUUCCUCUGCCCUGGAUAGAGAGCGGUGUCUCAUAACAGUUUGGAAACUACAAAAGUUUCCCUGGCAGGAUGAAUGAUUGACUCGGCAACAUGUUCUUGCCUUUUGGAGUUGCCCUCCAAUUUUUCCAGGCUUGAUUCUGUAAAUCAUUUCAUCUUGUAAAAAUACUGGGCUGUGAGCACGGAUGAUCUCAAAGAUGAGGAAACAGAAGCUGGGAUAUGUGAGUAAACAUUUCCAAGGUCCUGCAGCUAAUCAAUGGUUGACAACUUCUUUCCUCUGCCUAUGUUGCCAUCCAUGUCAUGGUUUGUGUCAAGACUCUAGGAGAAGUCUACCAUCAGCACCACAGCUACUGUGCACAAAUCCAGAAUGCCAGACUGAAGUCAGAAGGAAAGAAAGAAGAUUGGAAAAAUCUCCCAUGACCAAGGAAAAUUGUGAAAAAUAUUUCUGAUAUUUUGUCUAUGCAUUUUAUUUUUGAGGGUGUUUUUUAUAUUAGUGUGACUAUUUUGUAUUUCCUACCCUGUUGUAAACUUUUUAAAAAUUGCUCUUACAGUUAUUACUAAGUAUAUGAUUUAAAAUCCCUAAUUAGGGUUCUUAAACAAGGGAGAAGCACUCUCAUACCCCUAGAACAAGAUGAACAAAAGAAGGAGGAAAAAUCUUGACCUCCGUAAGAUCCAGGAUGGCACGUGCAAGGCACUGACACAGCAUCUGCCGGCAUCACUGACUCUCCUGGACCCCAGAAGCCCAGUUCCCCAGGCUCUGAAACCCUGCAGCAAUGAAAAGGAAGCACAGGCAAACCAUAAGGAAGAUAAUUUUUCUACUAAAAAAUAAAUAGAAAUGCAUCCUUAGAGGCAGGUUUCAUGAGGACACAGAGAAUCCGGUUUUGUGUGUGCCUGAUUUCGUUUUUCUGUCAAAGAGAUACAAAACAAUCAACUGAGUUAUCUUGAACUUACAAAGAUUAAAAAUAAUCAAUUCCUGUUACUAUUUUCAAUUUUUCCCCCAUUUUACUUCUUUAGGUAUGAAGAAAUGUAGCCUAUUAAAACCUGGAUUAAUAAAAACCUUUCAUUAACUUUUAGAA
rnacentral:lncRNA from 1 species